UACAGAGGGGGCAAGCGUUAUUCGGAAUUAUUGGGCGUAAAGGGCGCGUAGGCGGCUUGGCAAGUGGAAGGUGAAAUCCCUCGGCUUAACCGAGGAACUGCCCUCCAAACUGCUUUGCUUGAGGCCGGGAGAGGCGAGUGGAAUUCCGAGUGUAGAGGUGAAAUUCGUAGAUAUUCGGAAGAACACCAGUGGCGAAGGCGGCUCACUGGUCCGGUACUGACGCUGAGGUGCGAAAGCGUGGGGAGCAAACAGG
rnacentral:rRNA from 1 species